UGGCGGCGCGUUUAAGCAUGCAAGUCGAGCGGCAGGGCCUCGGGCCCUAGAGCGGCGGACGGGUGAGCAACACGUGGACAAUCUGCCCCCCGGCCCGGGAUAGCCCAGGGAAACCUGGAUUAAUACCGGAUGAGACGGGACCCGCGAUGGCGGGAUCCGGGAAGGCGCUGCGGCGCCGCCGGGGGAUGAGUCUGCGUCCCAUUAGCUAGACGGCGGGGUAACGGCCCACCGUGGCGACGAUGGGUAGCCGGCCUGAGAGGGUGGACGGCCACAUUGGAACUGAGACACGGUCCAGACUCCUACGGGAGGCAGCAGCUAAGAAUCUUCCGCAAUGGGCGAAAGCCUGACGGAGCGACGCCCGCGUGAACGAAGAAGGCCGUGAGGUUGUAAAGUUCUUUUCGGGAGGGGGAACAACCGUGGCAGGGAAUGGCCGCGGGAUGACGUGAAUCCCGGAAUAAGCCCCGGCUAACUACGUGCCAGCAGCGGC
rnacentral:rRNA from 1 species